UACAGUGGCGUACGGGUGAGUAACACGUGGAUAAUCUACCUCUUAGUGGGGAAUAACUCUGGGAAACCGGAGCUAAUACCGCAUAAGCCUGGAAAGGGAAAGUCGCAAGACGCUGAGAGAGGAGUCCGCGGCCGAUUAGCUAGUUGGCAGGGUAACAGCCUACCAAGGCAUUGAUCGGUAGCCGGCCUGAGAGGGCACACGGCCACACUGGCACUGAAACACGGGCCAG
rnacentral:rRNA from 1 species